UUGUACCUACGCUUACUUAAUUGAAUACGGCUGAGUUAUCAUAAAUCUUGCAAUUUAAGACAGGAUCUAGCUCAGGUAAAUACUCUUAACCUAUUUUCUCUUAUACGGGCUUGGGAUACGGUAAUAUAAUUACCGCAUGGUCAGGUACAAAUACGUAAAUACGCUGGAAGCUGCUCGGAAUUGUUAGAUGAGGAAUUUGCAACUCCUUCGCAUAAGCCAUUAGUCUGAUAAACUCCUUUUGUUUUAAUG
rnacentral:lncRNA from 1 species